ACCCCUUUGCAGCAAUUUCCCCUCAACUUCCCCCAUUUACUUUAUUGUUUCUCUCUCCUCUUCCCCUUUCCUCCCUCUCAACAAGCCCCCUCCCUCUUCCUUUCCUCUUUCUCUCUUGAGUUUCUUUUCUGCUUUUGCUUCCAAAACAGCACCGUGUGCUGCUGUUUUUGCCCCAAGCCAGCCACCAUCUUGCGCCAUAGCCGUGGGCCAUCACUAUCCACAAGCCGCCAUCCACCGCAAAGAGCCGCACCACCCAUCUCUGCGAGCCAUCGGCCCGCCGUUCUUGCCAAAUCAGAAACCACUUCUGCCAAGACCCACUUUUGCUUAGCGCCUUCGUGACAUUUUGGAUGUAACCAUGCAUAGCCCUCGCCACCGCCGUCGCACUCAUGUUGUCGGAAUUGUCGUCGGCCUUGAGGGGUGGCCUGACUGAGAUGGCGAUUCGUCCACGCUAGUGCGGGGCCCAAGGAGGCAAUAUUUGGUUGGGAUGAGGAAUGGCAGUGCGUCCGCGCCUUUACCCCAGACAAUGCUUUCGUGUGACAAUGGCCACGUGAGAUCGCUUGUAAUGUGAUUCGUAUGUGAUUGAUGAACCACAUCAUCUAAUGGCCAUGUGCAUUGCGUGUAUCGUGAUGAGUUAUGAUGUGCAGGGUAUGGCAUAUCAAGUAAGGUUGCAUAUGAACCGACUAUUGAUUGUUGAUUGUCAAUCUUUGGUUUGUUUGUGAGAUGGUUCUAAAGAGAUACCCUGAGUUGAGUUGGUGUACUAAUCGGGGGACUAGGGGAAGAACUCGUUGAGAUUUACAUCUCAUUGGUUAUUGAAUUCAGGUCCCCAGUGUGAAGAACCCGGAGUUUGAAGUGGAAGGGUCAAGAACAUAAGUGGCUUAGUAGUCCUUUGUGAGAUAGACAUUAUGUAUAAGCUUGAGGUGUUUAUGAAAGUGUAUUUGAUUUGAAACUGGUUGUCCCACUUUUCUAUCUCAUAUUUGUUGUUGCUAGGGGAUUAGUUAA